GCUGAGCAUGGUGGUGCAUGCCUGUAAUCCCAGUGGCUUGGGAGGCUGAGGCAGGAGGAUUGUGAGUUCAAAGCCAGCCUCAAUAACAGGGAGGUGCUAAGGAACUCAGUGAGACCCUGUCUCUA
rnacentral:sRNA from 1 species